UACAGAGGGUGCGAGCGUUGUCCGGAAUCACUGGGCGUAAAGGGCGCGUAGGCGGUCUGCUAAGUUGGAUGUGAAAACUCUGGGCUUAACCCAGAGCCUGCAUUCAAUACUGACAGGCUAGAGUUCUGGAGGGGAUAGCGGAAUUCCUGGUGUAGCGGUGAAAUGCGUAGAUAUCAGGAGGAACACCGGUGGCGAAGGCGGGUCUCUGGGCCGAUACUGACGCUGAGGAGCGAAAGCGUGGGGAGCGAACAGG
rnacentral:rRNA from 1 species